CCUACGGGAGGCUGCAGUGAGGAAUAUUGGUCAAUGGGCGCUAGCCUGAACCAGCCAAGUAGCGUGAAGGAUGACUGCCCUAUGGGUUGUAAACUUCUUUUAUAUGUUAAUCCAUUGCAGUAUGUAUACUGCUUUUCAUGUACCUUAUGAAUAAGGAUCGGCUAACUCCGUGCCAGCAGCCGCGGUAAUACGGAGGAUCCGCGCGUUAUCCGGAUUUAUUGGGUUUAAAGGGAGCGUAGUCGGGUUGUUAAGUCAGUUUUGAAAGUUUGCGGAUCACACGUAAAAUUGCAGUUGAUACUGGCAUCCUUGAGUACAGUAGAGGUAGGCGGAAUGCGUGGUGUAGCGGUGAAAUGCUUAGAUAUAAAGAAGAACUGAGAUUGAGAAGGCAGCCUGAUGGACUGUAAAGGACGCUGAUGCUCGAAAGUGUGGGUAUAAAAAAGGAGGAGAGAAAAGGGUAGUC
rnacentral:rRNA from 1 species